rnacentral:misc_RNA from 1 species
GAUGAAGAACGCAGUGAAAUGCGAUACGUAAUGUGAAUUGCAGAAUUCAGUGAAUCAUCGAAUCUUUGAACGCACAUUGCGCCCCCUGGUAUUCCGGGGGGCAUGCCUGUUCGAGCGUCAUUUCAACCCUCAAGCUCUGCUUGGUAUUGAGUCCAUGUCAGCAAUGGCAGGCUCCAAAAUCAGUGGCGGCGCCGCUGGGUCCUGAACGUAGUAAUAUCUCUCGUUACAGGUGCUCGGCGUGCUUCUGCCAAAACCCCAAUUUUUCUAUGGUUGACCUCGGAUCAGGUAGGGAUACCCGCUGAACUUAAGCAUAUCAAUAAGCGGAGGA